AGCGCCACCACAAACUCCAGCACCCUGCUGACGGCGUUCACCCAGUAGAUCACUUCAUCCAGGCUCUCGAUCGGGUCGCUACGAAACAGCUCCACCAUGAAGAGGGAGUAGAUCAGCAUCGUGCCUGUAACCUGGUCAAACAGAAAAGACCUACCUGAAGGGAAGUCAGCAUGCAGCUAGAAACCAGUAUAAGAAGCCAGAAAUCCAUGUGGAAGAACUGGGAGAUUUUAUAAGCCAUAAACACUGGGAAAACCAGCAGAAGCAGACACAUGCUGAGGCCACGGAAGUGUUUCCACACACUCCUAGAAGCACAGAAGAAAAAGAAGCCAAAAGAGAACUUUUAAAGAGGGUUGAAGUCACCACGAUGAAGAGGAUGAUGCUGAGGAGGAAGGUGCGCUGCAGGGCCUGCAUGUCUAACAGGCCCGUCUGGAGAGCGAGCAGGAGCAGCGUGACGCCCUCCGUCACACCUCUGACGAGGGAAGAGUCAAAGUCAAAACAGGGCAAUAACGCAGCACUUUGAACUGUAUGUGGGUCAAUAAACAAACUAACUAACUAAAAAA